AGGAGACUAUAGAAUAUUUUGUAUUUUUGCAACUAAAGAAGUGAAGUGAGGCAAGAACCCAGUGGGCAUUUAACCAAGUAGGGUUAGGUCUUUAGCCAGAGUCAUGCUGGGCAUUAUAACAAUGUGGGCGAAAAAGCAACAUAAAGUGGAGUGAAGGCCACUGGGGUGGAGCAACAUUUGGCUUACUGAGCUCUCUGCACUUUGGAGGGAAAUUGGAGAAGGAGUUUGGGAGGACUUAGUGCCAGGCACAAAAUGAAAUCACAUAAGGAAUAAUUUGAUUUCUAUACAAAAGGGUGAAUUUAAAUCUAUGAUUCAGAAAUACUUGUUACUUAGCCCAUUUGCAGAUAUGUGGGGCCACAUGGACUGGGAGUGUGAGUACCAAGGUGAGGCCAGAGAGAACCCAUGUGACUUCCCAGCUAUCUCCUCCCCUUCUGAGGGGAUCACAGAGCCAGGAGAUGCAUCAGGAGACAUGGAAUUGAAGAAGCCUGGGUCACUCUGUCUCCACAUCAAGGCCCCAGAACAUCUGUCAGCAUGAGGCUGGGAAAUAUUUCAUGUCCUGAAAGCUCUGCAUUUGCUUCUGUUAUCACUAACAUGAAGGGCUAUUGCUCUAUUUCAGGUGCUGCUAGCAAAGGGGAAAACCACAGAAAAGGGAGAAACUGGAAGAAAACUUCAACCAACUGUGCAAUUAAUUAAAUGGUAAUAAAUAAAAAUUUGAGAAAUCA